GGGCGUGUAGCUCAGGGGUAGAGCGUUCGCUUCGCAUCCUUGUUGUUCUUAUAUGCGAAAGGCCCUGGGUUCGAUUCCCAGCUCGUCCA